rnacentral:rRNA from 1 species
AUUGAACGCUGGCGGCAUGCUUUACACAUGCAAGUCGAACGGCAGCGCGGGCUUCGGCCUGGCGGCGAGUGGCGAACGGGUGAGUAAUGCAUCGGAACGUGCCCAGUAGUGGGGGAUAGCCCGGCGAAAGCCGGAUUAAUACCGCAUACGACCUGAGGGUGAAAGCGGGGGACCGAAAGGCCUCGCGCUAUUGGAGCGGCCGAUGUCGGAUUAGCUAGUUGGUGGGGUAAAGGCUUACCAAGGCGACGAUCCGUAGCUGGUCUGAGAGGACGACCAGCCACACUGGGACUGAGACACGGCCCAGACUCCUACGGGAGGCAGCAGUGGGGAAUUUUGGACAAGGGGGGCAACCCUGAUCCAGCCAUGCCGCGUGCGGGAAGAAGGCCUUCGGGUUGUAAACCGCUUUUGUUCGGGAAGAAAUCCUCUGGGCUAAUACCCCGGGGGGAUGACGGUACCGGAAGAAUAAGCACCGGCUAACUACGUG